rnacentral:tRNA from 1 species
GUCCUUGUAGCGCAAUGGGUAGCGCUUUGGAUUUCUAAUCCAAAGGUCGUGGGCUCGAAUCCCACCUGGGACG